AGAGCCUCAGCUAGUUAGGAACCAAAACAUAUCUUCCUCCAAUAAGCAAAGGGUAACUCAGGCCCUCCUUCCAACAGCUGAGAGGAAUUGAGCCCUCUCAACUCCCACAGGUAGAGCCCUACGAGGGGGAUGAAAUGGUUGGCCCAUGGCUUGUAGCUUUGUGACAGACACUGAGCCAGAGUCGCCUAGCUCAGCCACACCUGACACCUGAUUGAGAAGGAAUAACUCCAGUGUGAGUGAGAUAAAACAGUGGGAGCCAGCGAUUUUUCAGAGUACUUUACACUGUCACCCACCCCAUCCAAGUCUGUCGCACUUACAAUAAGAUAUGAAAAGACCCCAGAUGCUGAAGAUUCUGGCCAAGAUUAUACAACUUAUUAGUAGGCAGGACCUUCAGAGUACAUAAAUUCCAAAGAUACCAUUUAUGUCAUGCAAAUGGAGUCUUGUUACUGGAGGUAUAGACUGCAACAUCUGACUUCAAUUCGAAUUCACUUUGCUUUUUCCUGUUGGACAACAAAGUUUUUGUAAGUUAUAAGGCACAAGGGAAAUACUAAAUGUUAACAUUCUGAACUAUAACAAAAAUGAAAUUUUACUAUUAAUUUUUAUAAAGACAUCACGAAGAGCAUUCAGAUAUCCAACAACCAAUAAAUCAUCCUAAGUAUGUAAGUAUAUAUUAGGUGAUAUAGAGGAGUAGUUAUUCCCUUAUCUUAUUAUCAGCCUUCUCCUAUUUUUUUUCCUACCAUCCUCCUUCUAACAUUUUAGUUUCUCUAUGAACAAGCACACACACACACACACACACGCACACAUACACAAACAUACAUACAUACAUACAUGCACAUAUACAUUAUUAUUUAGGGAAGCACAAGAAAGUGUUUGCCUGGCUAAGUAGAAAGGUAGUUUAUAUUACUCUCCUUCACAGGAUUAAUUCUCAGCUUCAUAUUCAGAUAUAUUUUUAACAUUGAAAUCAUUGUUCCUUCUGUGCUUCCCUAUAAAUUUCACUACACACCUGAACCCUGAAUUAAAUCAUUCUGAUUAUUAGGCUGAGGAUAUUUUUGAAGAAAGCAGCAGUAAGGAAAAUAAGCAAUGUGUCUGCCAAAGUUGCCUUAUAUAUCAAUAUUCGGUUGGAACCGAAUAAUGGCUGCCCUGCCCAUAGAUGCCUAUCUCUACCAGAAUCGCCACCACUCCUUAGUGUAUUAAGCCAGUCCACUUCAUGCACUUGCUUAACUGAUGGACCUUGGGUAAUUACAUUUGAAACUCCUGGAAAAUAUUGAAAGUGGCUGGAAACAUUUCCUCCAGAGCUAGAGUAGGAACAUAAAAUAGCACAUCCUAUGUGGCUAUUGAGAAGAUCAUAUUUGAACAUAUCUAUAAUGUAUUCUUUUAAGGUUGUUCAAACCAGACAUUUUAUUUUCCCGCUUAAAAAACUUCAGUGGCUCUCAAAUAGGUCUUCAGGAUUCUACUUAACUUUGCAGUGUGCUCUCUUACCACUGACACUCACUGUUCUACAGCUUUUGCACCAAAACUAGACUGGAGGACUUCUGUAGGACACAGGAAGGCAGGAUCCAUGACUUUUUCACUGUUACAUCCCUAGUGCCAGCAAUGCCCUGGAAAAAUAAGACAAUUUGGCAAUUUAUUAAAUGAACUGUGCAUGAAUUAAUUGAAAGGAUUUUGAGUAGGCCUGGUUUUCUGGGAGAGAGUGGGUGGCUGGUUAAUGUUCCCACAACUCUGCAACGAGGAGCAAAAAAACAGAAAAAAAUGUUCUGUUAUUCAUUCUCUCCUACUUUGGCCUAGUUGCCUUGUACACUCUGUGGCAGUAUAUUAGAUUCACUAAGAGUCACGGCUUGAUGAAGUUUUUAUCUUCUCUGUUUGUUGAAGCUACUUGUCUCCAAGAGAUACAGUUUCCAUUUCUCAUCCUUUCUUUACUCUGGAGAUCCAUCUGCAGCAAGGUACUCAUUGACAAUGACAGCACCUCUGUCUGGGCUUUCACCUCCAGACUCAGCUCCCAUUGGUUUCCCUGAACUGGCUUCUCCAUCCGGACCCAGUCCUUUUGCUCCUUCCCUGGCUCUCUCCUCUUUGCCAGGUCCUUGGAAGAGCAAUUUGCCUCUUUACAAGUAACAGUUUGGUCUUCGUCAUUCUUUUGCCCCCAAAUACUGUCUUCCACAAUACCUCUCAAUCCCAUGCCUCACCACACCUCCAACUCAGCACCAGAGCAACACCCUGUUUGCCUUGGAGAGAAGGCUAAGAACAAUCCUACAUAAAACUUCCCAUCCUUAUUUGCCCUGAAUUCUUUUGCUCUCUGCAACUUUCCUUCCAAUCCUUUUCCCAAUCACUGUCUAUCUCUUUUUACCAGUUUUUUCCAAUGAUUUGGGGGUAGAUUUGUAAAUUCACUAUUUCGAAGUUUAUAUUUGAGAUGUUAAUUUUGAGGCUAAUCUAAGAAUUAGUAUCAGUAUGCCUUGGAUUAUUUGGAUGACCACCUUAUAACUAGAUUACUGCCAAACUGUGCUGGUGUCCACAUUCCAGUUUGGGUUUACUAGACACUAAUAACACUGCUUUAGUGACCCUAGGUUAAUGGAAAAAUAACGACAGCAGAAUAAAUAUGUAAGUGAUAUGACAAGUCAAAUGAAGUCUAAAUAACAUCACAGAAAGAAUGUCAUGUAAAUAAAUAUUUUUUGCAAUAAUUGCUAUAAAGACAAGU